GAUGAACGCUGGCGGCGUGCCUAAUACAUGCAAGUCGAGCGAACAGACGAGGAGCUUGCUCCUCUGACGUUAGCGGCGGACGGGUGAGUAACACGUGGAUAACCUACCUAUAAGACUGGGAUAACUUCGGGAAACCGGAGCUAAUACCGGAUAACAUGUUGAACCGCAUGGUUCAACAGUGAAAGACGGUCUUGCUGUCACUUAUAGAUGGAUCCGCGCCGCAUUAGCUAGUUGUUAAGGUAACGGCUUACCAAGGCAACGAUGCGUAGCCGACGUGAGAGACGGAUCGGCCACACUGGAACUGAGACACGGUCCAGACUCCUACGGGAGGCAGCAGUAGGGAAUCUUCGGCAAUGGGCGAAAGCCUGACGGAGCAACGCCGAGUGAGUGACGAAGAUCUCCGGAUCGUAAAACUCUGUUAUUAGGGAAGAACAACUGUGUAAGUAACUAUGCACGUCUUGACGGUACCUAAUCAGAAAGCCACGGCUAACUACGUG
rnacentral:rRNA from 1 species